rnacentral:rRNA from 1 species
GACGAACCGUGCGAACGUUAUUCGGAAUCACUGGGCUUAAAGGGUGCGUAGGCGGGUUGCCAAGUCUGUGGUGAAAUCCUCCAGCUCAACUGGAGAACUGCCAUUGAUACUGGCGGGCUUGAGUACAGACGAGGUUGGCGGAAUUGAUUGUGUAGCGGUGAAAUGCAUAGAUACAAUCAAGAACACCGAUUGCGUAGGCAGCUAACUAGGCUGUAACUGACGCUGAGGCACGAAAAGCGUGGGGGAGCGAACAGG